rnacentral:lncRNA from 1 species
GGACAAUGAACUGCUCUCUGAAACAAAGGGGCAAGAACUACUCGUCCCUUUCACUCCAGUAAGAGGAGGCACAGGGAGCAAUGGUGCAGUAAGGACUCCAGCCCCUGCCUGCUGAUGCAUACCUUGGGCAAGUUAGGAUGUUCAGCAGAAACCUCAGAAAUUGAAGAGGAAGAUCUCUGAUCUGCGUUCUCUGAGAGGAGAAUUGAACACACAUCUUCCAAAGGCAGAGGACCAGAUGCAUGAGCGCAAUUGGAGCUCUUGGAUCAAUAAAUCCUUUCAGACUAGGACAAUUGCCCUGUGAAAUAACGAAUUCUUGAAGGGAGAAGAGGGACAGACUUCCUCCUCACUAAGGAACUGGCACUGCAAGAUGAAGCAUGGCUGUCUGAAGACCUGGCAUCUGUGCUGACUCUCAUAGGUACCACACUGGAAGAAUUGGAGAAGAAAACCCAGUGGCAGAGGAGAAAGAAACACCCCUGGCACCACCUUAUACAAGAGGAACAUGGAAGACCUGGGUUUCAAAGAAGCCCUCUGCUGCUUGUGGGAUUCAGGAGCAAAGUACAUUAUUCAACUGGAAAAUGUGACAACCUAAUCAUCCUGAAGGUGGAUGAUUCCUGUGAAUGUGAGCAGGAUUUGGCUCUGGUUAUGGACAAGUGAAGAGGACACCAAAGCAUAAAAUGGAAGCUUAGAAUGACAGAGGAGCUCCUAACCCUGGGGAGCCCAUUUAAGCCAGCCAGCAUGGUUCAGACAAAGCACUAAGAGGGGACACGGUCCCUUUCUGAAAAGAAAGAAAGGAAAUUUCCCCUAAAAGAAAAAUCCAUAAUCAGGAUGACCAUCAAUAGAGAAGAUUCCCUGUUGGUGAGGUACCUUCUUUCGACUGAGAAAAUUCCCCACAUUUGUUGAUUCUGAUCCAGCUGGCCUGACUUGGAUUUGUAACCACCAGAUGCAUUGCAAGCA